GCGCUCGCUUCCGCAGCACAUAUACUAAAACUGGAACGAUACAGAGAAGAUUAGCAUGGCCCCUGCGCAAGGAUGACACGCAAGGAAGCGUUCCAUAUUUUU